rnacentral:tRNA from 1 species
GCGGGACUAGUUAAGUGGUAUAAUAACAGUUUUCCAAACUGUGGUUGGGGGUUCGAUUCCCCCGUCCCGCA